rnacentral:rRNA from 1 species
GACGAACGCUGGCGGCAUGGAUUAGGCAUGCAAGUCGAACGAAAAGCAGGAGCUUGCUCCUGUGGACGAGUGGCGAAAGGGUGAGUAACGCGUGAGUAACCUGCCCUCAAGUCGGGGGAUAACUCCUGGAAACGGGGGCUAAUACCGGAUGUGAAUAUUUUCCCGCAUGGGAUUAUAUUUAAAAAUUUAUUGCUUGAGGAUGGGCUCGCGUACCAUUAGCUGGUUGGUGUGGUAACGGCAUACCAAGGCGACGAUGGUUAGGUGGAUUGAGAGAUCGGUCACCCACACUGGGACUGAGACACUGCCCAG